rnacentral:sRNA from 1 species
ACGACCACCCAGGGCCGGAAAGUUCGUCAAACUUGGUCAUUUAGAGGAAGUAAAAGUCGUAACAAGGUCUCCGUAGGUGAACCUGCGGAGGGAUCAUUAUUAUGCGAAGUGGCUACCCGGGUCCGCGGACCCGUAGCAAGCUACUCCCUGUAGAAACCCCCUCCCGCAUGCGGGAGGUGGGGGGCCGACAAGGCCCCGGGGUUUAGCAGAUCUUCAUCCAACCCUUUGUUGUUCAAACCUCUGUUGCCUCGGGGGCGGCCCUGACCCAAGUCUAAAACGUCUUGCGAAUGGGACCCCCGGCGGCCAAUAACCAAACUCUUGCGUAUCUCUGUCGUCUGAGUGAUUAUAUCAAUCAAAUUAAAACUUUCAACAACGGAUCUCUUGGUUCUGGCAUCGAUGAAGAACGCAGCGAAAUGCGAUAAGUAAUGUGAAUUGCAGAAUUCAGUGAAUCAUCGAAUCUUUGAACGCACAUUGCGCCCCUUGGUAUUCCGGGGGGCAUGCCUGUUCGAGCGUCAUUUCACCACUCAAGCCUCGCUUGGUAUUGGGCGAUGCGGUCCGCCGCACGCCUCAAAUCGACCGGCUGGGUCGAUCGUCCCCUCAGCGUUGUGGUUCAACUAAUUCGCUAAAGGGUUUUCGGUCGGUCACGCCGUUAAACAAGACCUCAUUUUUAAAGGUUGACCUCGGAUCAGGUAGGGAUACCCGCUGAACUUAAGCAUAUCAAUAAGCGGAGGAAAAGAAACCAACAGGGAUUG